CGCACGGGUGCGUAACGCGUAUGCAACCUACCUAUCACAGGGGGAUAGCCUUUGGAAACAGGGAUUAAUACCGCAUAAAGCAGGGGCUCCGCAUGGAGAUAUUGCUAAAGAUUUAUCGGUGAUAGAUGGGCAUGCGUCUGAUUAGUUAGAUGGUGGGGUAACGGCCUACCAUGGCGAUGAUCAGUAGGGGGCGUCAGAGCGUGGUCCCCCACACUGGCACUGAGAUACGGGCCAGACUCCUACGGGAGGCAGCAGUAGGGAAUAUUGGGCAAUGGACGGAAGUCUGACCCAGCCAUGCCGCGUGCAGGAUGAAGGCNNCCAGCCAUGCCGCGUGCAGGAAGAAGGUCCUCUGGAUUGUAAACUGCUUUUUUGGGGGAAGAAGAGACAUCUUGCGAGGUGUUGUGACGGUACCCUAAGAAUAAGCCACGGCUAACUACGUGCNNNNNNNNNNNNNNNNUGGGUUUAAAGGGUGCGUAGGUGGUUUAAUAAGUCAGUGGUGAAAGCUGGUUGCUCAACAAUCAAGUUGCCAUUGAUACUGUUAGACUUGAGAGAAGUGGAGGCUGGUGGAAUGGAUGGUGUAGCGGUGAAAUGCAUAGAUAUCAUCCAGAACGUCAAUUGCGAAGGCAGCUGGCUGUACUUUUUCUGACACUGAGGCACGAAAGUGUGGGGAUCAAACAGGAUUAGAUACCCUGGUAGUCCACACUGUAAACGAUGCGAACUAGCUUUUUGGCUGUAAGGUUGAGAGGCUAAGGGAAACCGAUAAGUUCGCCACCUGGGGAGUACGCCGGCAACG
rnacentral:rRNA from 1 species